AGUGAACGCUGGCGGUAGGCCUAACACAUGCAAGUCGAACGGCAGCACAGUAAGAGCUUGCUCUUACGGGUGGCGAGUGGCGGACGGGUGAGGAAUACAUCGGAAUCUACUUUUUCGUGGGGGAUAACGUAGGGAAACUUACGCUAAUACCGCAUACGACCUACGGGUGAAAGCAGGGGAUCUUCGGACCUUGCGCGACUGAAUUAGCCGAUGUCGGAGUAGCUAGUUGGCGGGGUAAAGGCCCACCAAGGCGACGAUCCGUAGCUGGUGUGAGAGGAUGAUCGGCCACACUGGAACUGAGACACGGUCCAGACUCCUACGGGAGGCAGCAGUGGGGAAUAUUGGACAAUGGGCGCAAGCCUGAUCCAGCCAUACCGCGUGGGUGAAGAAGGCCUUCGGGUUGUAAAGCCCUUUUGUUGGGAAAGAAAAGCAGCAGGUUAAUACCCCGCUGUUCUGACGGUACCCAAAGAAUAAGCACCGGCUAACUUCGUG
rnacentral:rRNA from 1 species